rnacentral:rRNA from 1 species
UACUCCUACGGGAGGCAGCAGUGGGGAAUAUUGCACAAUGGGCGAAAGCCUGAUGCAGCGACGCCGCGUGAGGGAUGACGGCCUUCGGGUUGUAAACCUCUUUCGCCAGGGACGAAGCGCAAGUGACGGUACCUGGAUAAGAAGCACCGGCUAACUACGUGCCAGCAGCCGCGGUAAU